rnacentral:rRNA from 1 species
UACGGAGGGUGCAAGCGUUAUCCGGAUUCACUGGGUUUAAAGGGUGCGUAGGUGGGUAAGUAAGUCAGUGGUGAAAUCUCCGGGCUUAACCCGGAAACUGCCAUUCGAUACUAUUUGUCUUGAAUACUGUGGAGGUCAGCGGAAUAUGUCAUGUAGCGGUGAAAUGCUUAGAUAUGACAUAGAACACCAAUUGCGAAGGCAGCUGGCUACACAAAUAUUGACACUGAGGCACGAAAGCGUGGGGAUCAAACAGGA